rnacentral:lncRNA from 1 species
CAGACUAGGGCUAACGUUAGCCAUGAUCUGACUUGUAAUUUAGGCUGGUAGUUGAUUUUAAGGUACAGUCAUGAUAAUGGGGAUUUGUAAUUAAGAUUGAGAUUGGACAAAAAUGUGGGUAAUUGGAUGCUUAGAUGUAACCAUAGACUGUCUUUUUUUUGCAGUGUCAAUUAAACAUGAAAAGAAAGGGAGAGAUAUCAGACUUAUUUUUAAAGAAGCACAAACAGGCAGAUCAGGUGCAAACAGACCCCAGCCUUUGCAUCACUAUUGGACCCCAGAGCAGCUCCCUAGCUGAGUGUGGUCAGACUUCACAAGGACCAGUCUACCACCACCACCACCAUCUACCAGACAGGAUGCCACAGAGACCUCUGGCUCUGAGCAAGACAGUGAGCCAGAGCUGUCAGGAGAUGUCAUCGAGCCCCUUGCAACUGCAUCAAGCACCAGAUAUGCUGUUCCAAAAGGACCCAAUGACAUUUCAAGAUCCAGAGAAGAGGGUCCUGUACAGUCGUGUUUGAAAACAUUUCCCAGAACUCAGCAUGGUACUACUAGGAAAAGGGCUUUCAACAGCUCCUGGUAUAAGGACAAUUCAUGGCUUGAAUAUUCUGUAAGUCAAGAUUUAACUUAUUGUUUCGCCUGUAGGCAUUUGUCUCUGCCCAAUACACCUGAAUCUG